GGCCUCGUAGCUCAGUUGGCUAGAGCGCUGGUUGUACUAAAGCCUUCCCCUUUCUGUUGUGGAUUCGAAUCCCACUAAGGCUG
rnacentral:tRNA from 1 species